GCGGCUUUGGCGCAGUAGGUAACGCGUAGGUCUCAUAAUCCCAAGGUCGCGAGUUCGAUCCUCGCAGGCCGCA
rnacentral:tRNA from 1 species